GGACACAAGGGGUCGGAUAUUUAAAGUUAAAUAUUUUUAACUUACGCGUGAAAUGGUUAAUUUUAUAAAUAUAUAUAUUCUAAGUAAACAACAACAGCCCAAGUUUAGUAAACAUUUUUUUAUUGAAACUAUAAAUAAAUAUUCUGCAUCCAUUAGGUGUGCCACUGUGGGUUGCUCCCGCACACCCCCGUGGCUACGCCCCUGCCGUGACCCAAAUCUCGUUCGCACAUCAUCGCGAUGUUUAUCAUCAAUUUACAAACCUCGCCAGUCGCCACAUCUUUUUUCUUCACAUACAUCUCAUACUCCUCCAUCUACACGCUCCACAACAUUUAAACCAACGGCUCUUUUAACAGCCAUCACUUGCAAAAGCUCUCCUACUCACUCACUCACUCACUCUCCAACUCACUCAAGGUGCGUUCCAUUCGACCGUAAGUCGACCAUCGACCAUCAAGAGAUUAGCCUAUCCCCUGUAUGUCCUUGAUGCACUACUUCAAAGAUGUGAGAAAAAGAACAUACACCUGCGAGUAGUCUGUUACAUUGACUGUGUUGCUGCCUCACAUUUGCAGAUCAAGUACAGUACCAGAUGGCUUGAUGGGUUUGGGCUCACAGACGGGGAAGGAAUGAAAAGGCUGUGGUCUUUCCUCCAAAGAUUUGCCAGAGUCACAAAGGAGAUGACUCCAUCUCAUCGCCUUGACCUACUGACUGAUGCCCUUUUGCAUUAUGGACGGAGGAAAUCAACUGACCUAGAGGUGCAGCUCCUGCAAAGAGUAGACAAAGCAGAGAAAAUAUUGCUCAAGAAGAUAUCUCAUCUGUCAUCAGAGAGGCACCAGUGUUGAUUUCUGAAGGAGACAUGGAGAGAUGGAAAAAAGCUAGCCCAACAGAAACCAAUAAGUAAGGAACUGAAGUUAAAGUCUUAAAUACUACACUGUCUGUAGAUGGAAAAGGGACUACAUCAUCAGACUGAUUCAGUUCUACAAGUUCAAAAUUGAGGACUCUGCUGAACAUUGAGGAAAAAAAACGUAUCGGGAGAAGAUGGCAAGAGUCUGAUUCAAACUUCCAGUCUACCCUUAAAGAUGUGGACCGUGAGCUCAGAGUCCAACUGUAAGGCUAGAACUGAAUCAAGGGAGAGAGCAGUCGUCCUCCACCUGAGAAGAAUAUAUCCAGCUUUGCUUCAGAUGGGCAGGGCAUUGCCAUUAGACUCUCCAAGCAGGUAGCCAAUUGAUUUUCAGGAAUCAUGUGAUCCCUCUUGGCAUGUCUACUUCUGCUUUAAUGACACUAUUGAAGAAGAUGAUGUUUCGAGAAGUCUAAAAAGGCGAGGGAUUGAUGCCUUACAUAUGAAGAGUGGAUGCUUUACCAGGAAAUGUGAAGUCUAAGGGGCCAGUCACAACAAAAGCGUUUAUGGCAGUUGCAGGCGCCUUUUUUGAAUGAUAUUCUAUGGGCAGGGCGCGUUUACGCGCUGUUUAUGUGCGCCGAGCCCCGCGCGUUUUUUUGCCGCCUGCCGCGCACGCGUUUUUGAAGGAGCGCUGAGAGCGGAGAAGCGCCCGACGUCAUUCGGGUCUUUCCAUUGUCCAAUCGAAUGAGGGGAGAGGCGGGCCUUACGUUGUGGUAAGGGAAGUUUACAGGGGCUUUGAAGAACCGGACUCCACUCGCUCACUCUCUCCUGCGUGUUUGUGCACCUCUCACCCUCAAACAAGGUCAGAGCAAGCGUCCUCUUUUUAAAGUUUCUGCUAAUAUGACAGUUAACAGCAAAAGAGCGCUCACGCUUCAAUAUUUGAUUGACAAGACAGCUGACUCGGUGGUUGCUUAGCAAUAUGAAAAGCCACGUCGCACUGCUCUUUUUUUGCAAGCGUUUAAAGCGCUUUUGGUGUGACUGGCCCCUAACUGAACACCCCAUCAGCAGCAGGCCUCUAACAUUUGGGCUCUAACAUCAAAGACACUGAGCAGCCUGGUGCAAAAGCUGCUCUCAUUCAACACCUCCAACAGCUGGAAAGAAAACUACAUCAAGCCAUUGUGAUGUUUAACCCACAUGUAUCAGACUUUGUUCCUGCAGACAACCCCCACUUGUGUCAGGCCCUCCCCAUGCCAAGCAUACAGACACUGGUAUACAAUGAUAAGAGUGAUAAUGAUGAAAAUGUGGAUAAAUAUGAUAACUAGCACUACAGAUUUUUUGUUAAUUUCUAGUCUGAUAUUGUAUUCUGUAAAAAGAAAGAUGUAAAAUGUAUAGUAUAUGUUGCAGCAUAUCAUAGAAACCUUUAUGGUGGUGUAAUAUAAUGUUCGCCUUACUUGUGCAAACAUGAUGUUUUACUAGGUCUGAUUUAUUUUAAAGCGUAGGUACUGUUUUUAAGCACACAUAUUCACACUAGUCUGUGUGAGGACAAAAUUGUGUGUUUACCAUUGUGAUGUUACUUAUUUACUUUAAUGUACAAAUGUGGUCAAUGUGUGUAAGGUGUUUUGUUUUUGUGAGCUAAGUUAAAAUGACAAAGUAUUGAAUCUUGAAUCCUUUGAAACAAAUACUGUAAAAGUUUGUAAAAAAAUAAAAUGUUUUCCACAAUGA